ensembl:lncRNA
AUGGAAGAUGAAAAGAUAAAAUAUUUUUUAAGACUCAGCUGCAAGAGAAUGCAUUGCCUAACAAAGGAACAUAUGGACAGAAGCAACAAGAUAAAUUUAGGUAGAAAGCCAAUGAAGUCCUCAACAUGGCUCAAAGUGCUGUGGGAAUUGACGGGGAAAGAAAAUGAAGAUACAUUCAACAUCCGAUUUGUACCAGGCAUUGUGCAAGAUAUAUUUACAAGUGCCAUCUCCCAAAACACCUAAGAAGAAAAUGUUAGCCCCAUUUUACAGAUUAUAAACUUGUGACUGAAGAUGGUUUCAACAACAUACCCAAGGAUAUAAUAGUGAAUAAUAAGAUAUCAACCCAUGCUGACUCCAUGCUGUUCUCCUUUACUCCCCAAACUUCAAUUUGCAAGUAGUCAUGAUAACCUGGGAGAAAUAAUUGCAAAUCUAAAUGACACCAUUUCCUUGAUAUUUGAAAGGACAGCAAUCAUUUCAACCCCAGCAUUUAGACAUAGCAUGUAACUACCUGUUAUUAAUAUGUUCAUACUAUACAUUAGGUUCUCCAGGUCAAUACUAGCUAAUUUCAUCAUAAUAAAUGAGUGUUGAAGUCAAUGUGGUCCAAACUCCCAUUGCCUGGCUCUCAGUGCCUACAUUGAAGCAGAGCUGAUCACUUUCACUGAGGCUGAGCAUCACCCUCCAGCUCAUUUCCAAAGAGCCCAGGCUUUCAGAGAAAUACUCCUCCCUUCACACACAGACAAUAAUUCUUCAGUAUUUCAUCUUUUGUGACAGCCAGCCAAUCCGUCACAGGGCCUCUUUCAUAAUUAUUGAUUUGCAUUUAUCUACAGCAAAGCUCUUUUGCAGACUAUCAUUUGUACUCUUGGUCAUUUUUUAAUCACCAGGAAAACUGUCAUCUGGAGCUGACACAACUUCAGAGCAUUCAUGUGAAACUUCAGGGUGUUCAUCCCACUCACCUUGAAGGUUCUAAGAUCAGCCCAACAUUAGUGGCUUUAAAUAAGUCAGCCACAAAGGAAAUUGGAACUUUUCUCUCAUUCUACUGGUCUGAGUUCUUUGACCCAUGAUAUUAUAUUCAAGGAAGUCUUAUAGAAAUAAGCACAGGUUACUGAUUGGCAGGCUGAAGCUUCAUCUGGCUUACAGAGGGCAUGCUUUAGACCAUGAGGUAUUUUUCAUUAUAGCUAGUUGGCAAAAUUAAACAUUUUUGAGAUGUCACACACAAAUAAUAAUUUCUACUUUUUCCUUAGAACCUGAUUAUGUGGAAUAGCCGGACCAAUAUGCCCACCUGACCAUAGUCUUCUAGAGCUGAUGGGCGGCUUCUCCUAGAUAGACAGGACCCCCUCUUUCAAUUGUAUUUUAUUCAUAUCCUUUAGCCCUUAUGUAAUCAACCCCUUUUGACGUUUGGGUAUGUGGUCUGUAUAAAAGUAUAAAAAUAAACAGUGGUCUGUAUUGAGUAUAAAAGACUGAUGUUCAAGUCUUGAUUCCCUUGGCUACUAGCUAUGUGGAUUUGGGUAAGACACAUUAUGCUCUGUGCUUAAGUUUCUUCAUUUGUAAAAAAAAAAAAAAAAAAUGAUGGACUGAUUCUAUCCAUACUUUUGUAAUUUGGGCUAGAGGCUAGACACUCUGCUAGUUAUUGGAUACAAAAGUAAAUUAGAAAUAAUACUUGUCCCCAAGUGGCUUAUUAUUUAGGAUAACACAUGUAAACAGUAUAUUUCAAAAUCAUGUGUCAGUAUGCAGGAAUGUCAGGUUGCCAGGGGCCCAUAGGACAGUCAUCCAUUCCAAGAUAAGGGAAACUAAGGCAGACUGUCUAAGGAAUGAUGCUUGAGCAAGAACCUCAUGGAGGAGAGAAUGAGAGAAUGCAUGCCAGGUAUGUUCAGGGAACAAACCAAGGUUUAUUCCUAUGUUGAGUCAAAAGAGCAAGAGCCAGGAAGAUCUGAAAAGCCUGCAGUGCCUAGUCUAAAGAGCUUAGACUUUUAGUCUUUGGGCAGUGAGGAAUCACUGAAGAUUUUGGAAAGGAUACGGAUAGAAUAUGACCAAAUGAGUGUAUCAGGAAAGUCAGUGUGGACAACAUUGGGCACAAGGGCAUCUCCUGCCUGCAUGAAACUCCCAGGCUUUGUUCAUGAAGUUUGCCUGAGUGAAGCGUACAAUUCACUCUCAGAAUGGAUACUGCCAUAGAUCUGAUAUUUGCAGCAUGUGACAGAUCUGAGGCAAAACUUAGGCUGGAGACCAGGUAAGUACACAUCAUGGGAAAAGCAGAGAAGCAUUUGAAAUAUAAGAAACUGUGGGCCAGGGGCAGUGGUUCAUGCCUGUAAUCCCAGCACUUGGGGAGGCCAAGGUGGGCAGAUCAUAAGGUCAGGAGAUCAAGACCAUCCUGACUGACAUAUGAAACCCCAUCUCUACUAAAAUAUAAAACAGUAGCCAGGCGUGGUGGUAUGUGCCUGUAGUCCCAGCUACUCGGGAGGCUGAGGCAAGGGAAUCACUUGAACCAAGGAGGGGGA